rnacentral:rRNA from 1 species
UUAAGCGACUAAGCGUACACGGUGGAUGCCCUGGCAGUCAGAGGCGAUGAAGGACGUGCUAAUCUGCGAAAAGCGUCGGUAAGGUGAUAUGAACCGUUAUAACCGGCGAUGUCCGAAUGGGGAAACCCAGUGUGAUUCGUCACACUAUCGUUAACUGAAUACAUAGGUUAACGAGGCGAACCGGGGGAACUGAAACAUCUAAGUACCCCGAGGAAAAGAAAUCAACCGAGAUUCCCCCAGUAGCGGCGAGCGAACGGGGAGCAGCCCAGAGUCUGAAUCAGCUUGUGUGUUAGUGGAACGGUCUGGAAAGUCCGACGGUACAGGGUGAUAGUCCCGUACACCAAAAUGCACAGGUUGUGAACUCGAAGAGUAGGGCGGGACACGUGGUAUCCUGUCUGAAUAUGGGGGGACCAUCCUCCAAGGCUAAAUACUCCUGACUGACCGAUAGUGAACCAGUACCGUGAGGGAAAGGCGAAAAGAACCCCGGCGAGGGGAGUGAAAAAGAACCUGAAACCGUGUACGUACAAGCAGUGGGAGCACCUUCGGGUGUGACUGCGUACCUUUUGUAUAAUGGGUCAGCGACUUAUAUUCUGUAGCAAGGUUAACCGUAUAGGGGAGCCGCAGGGAAACCGAGUCUUAACUGGGCGUUAAGUUGCAGGGUAUAGACCCGAAACCCGGUGAUCUAGCCAUGGGCAGGUUGAAGGUUGGGUAACACUAACUGGAGGACCGAACCGACUAAUGUUGAAAAAUUAGCGGAUGACUUGUGGCUGGGGGUGAAAGGCCAAUCAAACCGGGAGAUAGCUGGUUCUCCCCGAAAGCUAUUUAGGUAGCGCCUCGUGAAUUCAUCUUCGGGGGUAGAGCACUGUUUCGGCUAGGGGGUCAUCCCGACUUACCAACCCGAUGCAAACUACGAAUACCGAAGAAUGUUAUCACGGGAGACACACGGCGGGUGCUAACGUCCGUCGUGAAGAGGGAAACAACCCAGACCGCCAGCUAAGGUCCCAAAGUCAUGGUUAAGUGGGAAACGAUGUGGGAAGGCACAGACAGCCAGGAUGUUGGCUUAGAAGCAGCCAUCAUUUAAAGAAAGCGUAAUAGCUCACUGGUCGAGUCGGCCUGCGCGGAAGAUGUAACGGGGCUAAACCAUGCACCGAAGCUGCGGCAGCGACACUAUGUGUUGUUGGGUAGGGGAGCGUUCUGUAAGCCUGCGAAGGUGACCUGUGAGGGUUGCUGGAGGUAUCAGAAGUGCGAAUGCUGACAUAAGUAACGAUAAAGCGGGUGAAAAGCCCGCUCGCCGGAAGACCAAGGGUUCCUGUCCAACGUUAAUCGGGGCAGGGUGAGUCGACCCCUAAGGCGAGGCCGAAAGGCGUAGUCGAUGGGAAACAGGUUAAUAUUCCUGUACUUGGUGUUACUGCGAAGGGGGGACGGAGAAGGCUAUGUUAGCCGGGCGACGGUUGUCCCGGUUUAAGCAUGUAGGCUGAUUGUCCAGGCAAAUCCGGAUAAUCAAGGCUGAGGUGUGAUGACGAGGCACUACGGUGCUGAAGUAACAAAUGCCCUGCUUCCAGGAAAAGCCUCUAAGCAUCAGGUAACAUCAAAUCGUACCCCAAACCGACACAGGUGGUCAGGUAGAGAAUACCAAGGCGCUUGAGAGAACUCGGGUGAAGGAACUAGGCAAAAUGGUGCCGUAACUUCGGGAGAAGGCACGCUGGUGUGUAGGUGAAGUCCCUGCGGAUGGAGCUGAGACCAGUCGAAGAUACCAGCUGGCUGCAACUGUUUAUUAAAAACACAGCACUGUGCAAACACGAAAGUGGACGUAUACGGUGUGACGCCUGCCCGGUGCCGGAAGGUUAAUUGAUGGGGUUAUCCGUAAGGAGAAGCUCUUGAUCGAAGCCCCGGUAAACGGCGGCCGUAACUAUAACGGUCCUAAGGUAGCGAAAUUCCUUGUCGGGUAAGUUCCGACCUGCACGAAUGGCGUAAUGAUGGCCAGGCUGUCUCCACCCGAGACUCAGUGAAAUUGAACUCGCUGUGAAGAUGCAGUGUACCCGCGGCAAGACGGAAAGACCCCGUGAACCUUUACUAUAGCUUGACACUGAACAUUGAGCCUUGAUGUGUAGGAUAGGUGGGAGGCUUUGAAGCGUGGACGCCAGUCUGCGUGGAGCCAACCUUGAAAUACCACCCUUUAAUGUUUGAUGUUCUAACGUUGGCCCCUGACCGGGGUUGCGGACAGUGUCUGGUGGGUAGUUUGACUGGGGCGGUCUCCUCCCAAAGCGUAACGGAGGAGCACGAAGGUUAGCUAAUCCUGGUCGGACAUCAGGAGGUUAGUGCAAUGGCAUAAGCUAGCUUGACUGCGAGCGUGACGGCGCGAGCAGGUGCGAAAGCAGGUCAUAGUGAUCCGGUGGUUCUGAAUGGAAGGGCCAUCGCUCAACGGAUAAAAGGUACUCCGGGGAUAACAGGCUGAUACCGCCCAAGAGUUCAUAUCGACGGCGGUGUUUGGCACCUCGAUGUCGGCUCAUCACAUCCUGGGGCUGAAGUAGGUCCCAAGGGUAUGGCUGUUCGCCAUUUAAAGUGGUACGCGAGCUGGGUUUAGAACGUCGUGAGACAGUUCGGUCCCUAUCUGCCGUGGGCGCUGGAGAAUUGAGGGGGGCUGCUCCUAGUACGAGAGGACCGGAGUGGACGCAUCACUGGUGUUCGGGUUGUCAUGCCAAUGGCACUGCCCGGUAGCUAAAUGCGGAAGAGAUAAGUGCUGAAAGCAUCUAAGCACGAAACUUGCCCCGAGAUGAGUUCUCCCUGAGACUUUAAGUCUCCUGAAGGAACGUUAAAGACGAUGACGUUGAUAGGCCGGGUGUGUAAGCGCAGCGAUGCGUUGAGCUAACCGGUACUAAUGAACCGUGAGGCUUAACCUU